rnacentral:pre_miRNA from 1 species
CAAGGUGUGAUUCUGAAUGCACAGGAGGUGGAACAAAUAUGAAAUUUUCAUUGAAAUUCAUAUUUGCUCCACCACCUGUGGAUUCAAAUUCAGCCUUAGAGAU